rnacentral:lncRNA from 1 species
CUACAACCUCACGCUCUGUAGUGUCCUCUCGAACCUGUAUGUUGGGCUUCAAUGUCCCAGGCUGCCACCUUUCACACAUCUGGAGGGCUGCUCCCUCCCCAGUGGUAGAGUAAAGGCAAGCAGCUUGAGCCAAGUUAGCUGAGGCAUAGCCUGAGCCUUAAGGGAACUGAAAGGUCUCCCUGGGACCCCCAACUCCAGGUCAUCAUAAUGAGUACUUAUAGGGGUUCAAACCGCUUUGUUGUCCAUUCCUGCACACAAUAGUGUCUCUGAUGCCCCCUUUCAAGCAGGGGUCUGCUGUCUUACCCCAGUGAUGCUCCAGGCUGGGUGGGGUCUGUAGGCUUUUAUAAGCUGUACCAAAAGCUCAUGUGUCACAACCACUGCAUUCUGCUCGUUCAACAGCUGUCAUGAAGCUUAGAGUGAAGGACAGAGCAGAGGCUGUCACCAGGUUCUUCAGGGGACAGAGAGGACCCUGCCUCAGAGCAGGGAGUGUCAUCUGAUUCUGAAUGGCUGAGUUGUGGCCCACAUAGAGACAAGGUAGGUAUGGGGUCAGAGGAAAUAGAGGCCCAGAGCAAAGCAGAAGUCCUCAAGGUAUAAAGCAGGGAGAUGAGGACAAAUGCAGGUCAUAAUGAGAGAGAAAGGAGGCCUGGGGCAGAGAGGGGCUAUGAGCAUGCUGGGGCCGAGAGACUGGAAAUCUUAAGGGAAGAGGAGCGCCAGGCCAGGGAUUCUGUGCCUACGCGGCAGGGUCUCCCUCUAGAAUGUGCUGGACAGCUCCUGAGGUAGAGGCCUGGCCCUGGGUGCUGCAGAGCUCACAGGGCCUGGAGGGGUUGGAUCCAGAGCCUUUGACCCUGAGUGAGUAGUGCCUUGAUGGGUUCCCAGCCACAGGGGGUGUGGGAGGCGAGGAGGGGCCUGGCUGGGGAAGUGCUCCCCAGUCUGAAGCUUUCCCUCCCCCAGCCCUUCUUCUUUUUCCACCCCUUCCUCUUCCUCUUCUCCCUCUAAUUAUAAUACCCUGUUUAUCACAGCCUAAAAGCAAUGGAACCCAGCAAGCACAGACGGAAACCUCUGCAACCUCAAGCUAAAACCAAC